AUCCAACUGACGCGUCCCAAAUAGGACGAAACGCGCGUCCUGGAU
rnacentral:hammerhead_ribozyme from 1 species